UGCGAGUCGACGGUAACAGGAAGCAGCUUGCUGCUUUGCUGACGAGUGGCGGACGGGUGAGUAAUGUCUGGGAAACUGCCUGAUGGAGGGGGAUAACUACUGGAAACGGUAGCUAAUACCGCAUAACGUCGCAAGACCAAAGAGGGGGACCUUCGGGCCUCUUGCCAUCGGAUGUGCCCAGAUGGGAUUAGCUAGUAGGUGGGGUAACGGCUCACCUAGGCGACGAUCCCUAGCUGGUCUGAGAGGAUGACCAGCCACACUGGAACUGAGACACGGUCCAGACUCCUACGGGAGGCAGCAGUGGGGAAUAUUGCACAAUGGGCGCAAGCCUGAUGCAGCCAUGCCGCGUGUAUGAAGAAGGCCUUCGGGUUGUAAAGU
rnacentral:rRNA from 1 species